AGCACCCACAGACCCACUGUUGGGGUUAUUAGCCCUUCUGAUAAAUGCAUGCUGCAGGGCUGCGCUGAUUGUAUUCACAUUGAACUUUCUAGAAGUUUCCCUCAAUUCUCAAGUGACCUGGUAUCCCUGCCUUUUGUACCCUUGUCCACUACCCAUCAUGCACAGGGACAAUCCCUGGGGUUUACUCUGAAAACUGACCAACUGCACAGAAGCAUUUCAUUAUUUCUAUUUUUUGUUUUGCAGCUCCGCAGUUUGGAAUGUCAGCAGCUGUCUGGUUGCUAGGAUCCAAGCUACCUUAGCAACCAGGAAGUCAUUGAAAUGAGAAUCUGGUGGUGCCCCAGACUCCCCUGCUGCCCUGGACCGCUUCACUCUAGCCAGCUGGCCAUUCAGAUUUUGCACAAAGCUACAGUCCUCUUAUAGUCCAUUGAUAUUGCCCUGCAGUGGCUACAAGGACACAACCAGUGGGCAACAUCUCCACAGAUCAGGACCUCAGGGCCAUUACCACUAUACUGAACCCUGAACCCCAGGGGAGGCGCUGAAACCCUCCAGCGGAUUGGGCACCAUGGAAAGAACCUCCGAGGCUGCAGAAUCCCACAGGCACCCAGGUCUGGAUUGUUAUGACGUUCCUGACUUGGCAGAUGAUGAUGUCUCCCAGCUUUAUGAAGCUUUGGAUGAACUUUCAUUGGUAGAUGGAGCUCAAGUUAUUGAUUCAGAAACUGCUUUGCCCCAUGUCUCCAGUACAGUAAAUGCCUCCUGUAUGGCUACAGCCUUGGACGAUAAUGCUAACUGUUAGUAACCAACUGGGCCUUUCCUAAAAUAUAGACAGAAAAGGG